rnacentral:rRNA from 1 species
AGAGUUUGAUCCUGGCUCAGGACGAACGCUGGCGGCGUGCCUAACACAUGCAAGUCGAACGGAGAAUUUUAUUUCGGUAGAAUUCUUAGUGGCGAACGGGUGAGUAACGCGUAGGCAACCUGCCCUUUAGACGGGGACAACAUUCCGAAAGGAGUGCUAAUACCGGAUGUGAUCAUUGUGCCGCAUGGCAGGAUGAAGAAAGAUGGCCUCUACAAGUAAGCUAUCGCUAAAGGAUGGGCCUGCGUCUGAUUAGCUAGUUGGUAGUGUAACGGACUACCAAGGCGAUGAUCAGUAGCCGGUCUGAGAGGAUGAACGGCCACAUUGGGACUGAGACACGGCCCAAACUCCUACGGGAGGCAGCAGUGGGGAAUCUUCCGCAAUGGACGAAAGUCUGACGGAGCAACGCCGCGUGAGUGAUGAAGGAUUUCGGUCUGUAAAGCUCUGUUGUUUAUGACGAACGUGCAGUGUGUGAACAAUGCAUUGCAAUGACGGUAGUAAACGAGGAAGCCACGGCUAACUACGUGCCAGCAGCCGCGGUAAUACGUAGGUGGCGAGCGUUGUCCGGAAUUAUUGGGCGUAAAGAGCAUGUAGGCGGCUUAAUAAGUCGAGCGUGAAAAUGCGGGGCUCAACCCCGUAUGGCGCUGGAAACUGUUAGGCUUGAGUGCAGGAGAGGAAAGGGGAAUUCCCAGUGUAGCGGUGAAAUGCGUAGAUAUUGGGAGGAACACCAGUGGCGAAGGCGCCUUUCUGGACUGUGUCUGACGCUGAGAUGCGAAAGCCAGGGUAGCGAACGGGAUUAGAUACCCCGGUAGUCCUGGCCGUAAACGAUGGGUACUAGGUGUAGGAGGUAUCGACCCCUUCUGUGCCGGAGUUAACGCAAUAAGUACCCCGCCUGGGGAGUACG